rnacentral:rRNA from 1 species
AUUGAACGCUGGCGGCAUGCUUUACACAUGCAAGUCGAACGGCAGCGCGGGCUUCGGCCUGGCGGCGAGUGGCGAACGGGUGAGUAAUGCAUCGUAACGUGCCCAGUAGUGGGGGAUAGCCCGGCGAAAGCCGGAUUAAUACCGCAUACGACCUGAGGGUGAAAGCGGGGGACCGAAAGGCCUCGCGCUAUUGGAGCGGCCGAUGUCGGAUUAGCUAGUUGGUGGGGUAAAGGCUUACCAAGGCGACGAUCCGUAGCUGGUCUGAGAGGACGACCAGCCACACUGGGACUGAGACACGGCCCAGACUCCUACUGGAGGCAGCAGUGGGGAAUUUUGGACAAUGGGGGCAACCCUGAUCCAGCCAUGCCGCGUGCGGGAAGAAGGCCUUCGGGUUGUAAACCGCUUUUGUUCGGGAAGAAAUCCUCUGGGCUAAUACCCCGGGGGGAUGACGGUACCGGAAGAAUAAGCACCGGCUAACUACGUG